UACGGAGGGAGCUAGCGUUGUUCGGAAUUACUGGGCGUAAAGCGCACGUAGGCGGCUUUGUAAGUUAGAGGUGAAAGCCCGGGGCUCAACCCCGGAAUUGCCUUUAAGACUGCAUCGCUUGAAUCCAGGAGAGGUGAGUGGAAUUCCGAGUGUAGAGGUGAAAUUCGUAGAUAUUCGGAAGAACACCAGUGGCGAAGGCGACUUACUGGACACAUAUUGACGCUGAGGUGCGAAAGCGUGGGGAGCAAACAGG
rnacentral:rRNA from 1 species